rnacentral:rRNA from 1 species
CUGAGGCAUCCUAACAGACCCACAGACUUGAAC